rnacentral:rRNA from 1 species
AACGAACGCUGGCGGCAUGCCUAACACAUGCAAGUCGAACGAGACCUUCGGGUCUAGUGGCGCACGGGUGCGUAACGCGUGGGAACCUGCCCUUAGGUUCGGAAUAACACCCCGAAAGGGGUGCUAAUACCGGAUAAUGUCUUCGGACCAAAGAUUUAUCGCCUUUGGAUGGGCCCGCGUUGGAUUAGCUAGUUGGCAGGGUAAAAGCCUACCAAGGCGACGAUCCAUAGCUGGUCUGAGAGGAUGAUCAGCCACACUGGGACUGAGACACGGCCCAGACUCCUACGGGAGGCAGCAGUGGGGAAUAUUGGACAAUGGGCGAAAGCCUGAUCCAGCAAUGCCGCGUGAGUGAUGAAGGCCUUAGGGUUGUAAAGCUCUUUUACCCGGGAUGAUAAUGACAGUACCGGGAGAAUAAGCUCCGGCUAACUCCGUG